rnacentral:tRNA from 1 species
GAAAUAUGUUAUAAUUAAGCUGCUAACUUAAUUUUUAGGGAUUAAAUUUCAUUAAUAUUUCU